GUGAAGCUGGGGUUUUGGCCUUUUCCCACAGCCCGAGGCCCGGGCCCCCAAGCUCUUCUCUACCGGCAGCCCGCUCCUUGAUGCACCGUUCUGGCCUGGCGUCCCCAGGGCACUCAUCUGCUUCAGCGUCUGAGACCAGGAGCAAAUUUGUAUGAGGAUGGCCUUGAGCAACCCAGACCCCAAGCCCAGUUUGGAAGCAGCGACUCUGGGAGAAGGGUGGCUUUCUGCAUCACAGUUUUGCAGGUUCUGGCAAUCGGCUAUCACCACAGGUCAGUGGACUGGGUCCUGGAAGGCACCAGCCAUGGAGCACUAACCGCAGAGCUGGACUCCAGACCCGGCUGCGCCUGCCCACCCAACACACCGGCCACUGCUGACCCUCUGUCCCUGGCCAGCCACGCUCAUGGCCUCUGCCCUCCCUCCCUGGCCAGCCACGCUCACGGCCUCUGCCCUCCCUCCCUGGCCA